CAAAGUAACUGAUUUUGUUGUUAGCAACGACUGAACGCUGGGUCUCGCUUUGAGUAACCGGAAGUAUAAAACCGGACAACGGAAGUAGUGGUCUGUCAUGGCAGCCUACGUACGCUCUUACAGAAACCUGUGGAUAGCCAAACUGUUGUCUGUUCCACUUUUUGUUUACUUUUACUUGCUGAGCCUGAGAGAGCACAUGCCUCCUGCCGCGGCCGUUGGUUGGAGGAGCCGCAAUAGUUUGGAAAGGAAGGAAGCAGUAAGGUCAGUUUCCAUUCUGGGUUUUCAGCAUUAAUAAAGAAACCUGCAACAAGGACAGUUAGCAUGCAGUCUGGAGCAGCCAGGGAUCGACCC